UCGUCACACUAUCAUUAACUGAAUCCAUAGGUUAAUGAGGCGAACCGGGGGAACUGAAACAUCUAAGUACCCCGAGGAAAAGAAAUCAACCGAGAUUCCCCCAGUAGCGGCGAGCGAACGGGGAGGAGCCCAGAGCCUGAAUCAGCAUGUGUGUUAGUGGAAGCGUCUGGAAAGGCGCGCGAUACAGGGUGACAGCCCCGUACACAAAAGCGCAUGUGCUGUGAGCUCGAUGAGUAGGGCGGGACACGUGGUAUCCUGUCUGAAUAUGGGGGGACCAUCCUCCAAGGCUAAAUACUCCUGACUGACCGAUAGUGAACCAGUACCGUGAGGGAAAGGCGAAAAGAACCCCGGCGAGGGGAGUGAAAAAGAACCUGAAACCGUGUACGUACAAGCAGUGGGAGCACAGGUUUACCUGUGUGACUGCGUACCUUUUGUAUAAUGGGUCAGCGACUUAUAUUCUGUAGCAAGGUUAACCGUAUAGGGGAGCCGAAGGGAAACCGAGUCUUAACCGGGCGUUAAGUUGCAGGGUAUAGACCCGAAACCCGGUGAUCUAGCCAUGGGCAGGUUGAAGGUUGGGUAACACUAACUGGAGGACCGAACCGACUAAUGUUGAAAAAUUAGCGGAUGACCUGUGGCUGGGGGUGAAAGGCCAAUCAAACCGGGAGAUAGCUGGUUCUCCCCGAAAGCUAUUUAGGUAGCGCCUCGUGAAUUCAUCUCCGGGGGUAGAGCACUGUUUCGGCUAGGGGGCCAUCCCGGCUUACCAACCCGAUGCAAACUGCGAAUACCGGAGAAUGUUAUCACGGGAGACACACGGCGGGUGCUAACGUCCGUCGUGAAGAGGGAAACAACCCAGACCGC
rnacentral:rRNA from 1 species